rnacentral:tRNA from 1 species
AAAAUUUUAAGUUAAAUAAACUAAUAACCUUCAAAGUUAUAAAUAUAUUUUUUUUUUAUAAAUUUUA